rnacentral:snRNA from 1 species
GUGCUUGCUUCAGCAGCACAUAAAAUUGGAACAAUGCAGAGAAGAUUAGCGUGGCCCCUGCACAAGGAUGACACGCAAAUUUGUAAAGUGUUCUAUAUUUUU